UACGGGGGGGGCAAGCGUUGUUCGGAAUUACUGGGCGUAAAGGGCUCGUAGGCGGCCAACUAAGUCGGACGUGAAAUCCCCAGGCUCAACCUGGGAACUGCGUCCGAUACUGGAUGGCUUGAAUCCGGGAGAGGGAUGCAGAAUUCCAGGUGUAGCGGUGAAAUGCGUAGAUAUCUGGAGGAACACCGGUGGCGAAGGCGACAUCCUGGACCGGUAUUGACGCUGAGGCGCGAAAGCCAGGGGAGCAAACGGG
rnacentral:rRNA from 1 species